rnacentral:rRNA from 1 species
UACGGAGGGGGCGAGCGUUAUUCGGAAUUAUUGGGCGUAAAGGGCGCGUAGGCGGCGCGAUAAGUCAAAGGUGAAAUCCCUCGGCUCAACUGAGGAACUGCCUUUGAGACUGUCGAGCUCGAGGCCGGGAGGGGGUAGCGGAAUUCCCAGUGUAGCGGUGAAAUACGUAGAUAUUGGGAGGAACACCAGUGGCGAAGGCGGCUACCUGGACCGGUUCUGACGCUGAUGCGCGAAAGCGUGGGUAGCAAACAGG